GUGGGGAAUCUUGCGCAAUGGGCGAAAGCCUGACGCAGCCAUGCCGCGUGAAUGAUGAAGGUCUUAGGAUUGUAAAAUUCUUUCAUCGGGGACGAUAAUGACGGUACCCGGAGAAGAAGCUCCGGCUAACUUCGUGCCAGCAGCCGCGGUAAUACGAAGGGGGCUAGCGUUGCUCGGAAUUACUGGGCGUAAAGGGCGCGUAGGCGGACAGCUUAGUCAGAGGUGAAAGCCCAGGGCUCAACCUUGGAAUUGCCUUUGAUACUGGCUGUCUUGAGUUUGGGAGAGGUGAGUGGAACUCCGAGUGUAGAGGUGAAAUUCGUAGAUAUUCGGAAGAACACCAGUGGCGAAGGCGACUCACUGGCCCAAUACUGACGCUGAGGCGCGAAAACGUGGGGAGCAAACAGGAUUAGAUACCCCUGUAGUCC
rnacentral:rRNA from 1 species